rnacentral:lncRNA from 1 species
AGUCCCCAGUCGCCUUCCUGGGAGGUUUGGUUCGUAUUGACGGUUCUCAAAGCAAAGAAAACGUGGAGAGACAGUGCUGCGCGCGGCUUGGAUCUCCGUCAAUACGGUACUAGCGGGAGCUUCCGAGGUCAACCUAGGGUCCACGGGGACCCUCCUAGUGGACAUGCGGGGAUUGGAGGUGGAGUCCUUGCUGUGCAACCCGAUCCGGUCCAUCCAGCCUGGUCUUAGCUCAACUCUGCAUUCUUAUGGCGGAGGAAAGCUAAGAUAGAGACAGCUGGGACCCGCGGAAUUUGAGGCGCGCGCUGGGAUCUUACGUGCGCAGAGGCCGGACCGCAGAGUAGAAGUGAGUCUUGACCCACCAGGGCCUAUAUUGAGAUGGAAACCUCUCUCUUUGAACAGAAUCCAGGUCUGCGGAGUCCCGACCCGCCACUUCCUAGGAGCAGCUUCUCAGCCCCAGGACCGAGGAAUGGGUGUGGGGGCUACAUGUGGGGAGCCCUCGACCUCUUAAAGGGCUCCGCGAAUGGUGGGGGAGACUGGAAGGCAAUCUCUGCGGCCCGCGCAAAGUGGUCAGAGGCGGGAGUGGGGGUGGGGGGGGGUGGGCUUCCGUCGCCCUUGGCGUCCCCACGUUCUUUUUCUUCCUCUCCUUUAUCCUCCUUAAAGCGGAUUGCCUGGAGCGUGCCAGCUUGUGUGCGCGUAUAAAUGCGGCGCCCGCCGAAGGGCUGGGAAGAUUUGACUCGCAUUAGAUCUCCAGAAAAGGCCCUUGGUUACGGCGGGCACCGAGUAAAUGGCGCAGUGUGGCACAAAGGUUACCAACACGGAGAUAGCGCCAACAGAUCCAGCCCCUGCUGUUACUACUCCUGGAUCAGGGAAACGUGAUUUGGUGUCAGCUGUUCCAGCACUGAAUCGAAGAGGGUUUAAAAAUUGUGUUUUAAUCACAAUGGGAUCUCAUUAGAGUUCUUUUGGGGAUUUCAGAUCAAAUGUUUCUUUUUGUUUUUCUUUCCUUCCUUUCCCUCCCUCCCUCCCUCCUUUUUCUUUCUUUCUUUUCUUUCUUUCUCUUUCUUCCUUUUUUUUUUUUUUUUUGGUUACAGGGUCUCUCUCUGUCUCCCAGGCUGGAAUGCAGUGGCCGGAUCAUGGCUCGCUGCAGCCUCGACCCGGACUCAGUGAUCCUCCCACCUCAGCCUCCUGAGUAGCUGGGACCACAGAUGCAGCCACUAAGCCUGGCUAUUUAUUUAUUUAUUUAUUGCUUGUAGAGCCGGGGUUUCGCCAUGUUGCUUAGGCUGGUCUUGAACUCCUGGGCUCAAGUAAUGUGCCCACCUCGGCCUCCCAAAGUGCUGGGAUUACAGGUGUGAGCCACCGCGCAGGCUUCAAAUGCUUCUUAAACCUACUUACGUGAAUUCAAUGUUACAACAGCUGUUUGAAUAUGAUUAUCUCCUGAAAUUCAGAUAAACCCAACUCAUCUCCCCAGGCUAAUGGGUGCAAAAUUGCACACAAAUAUUUAUGCAAAAUUUCAGCACAUUUGAUCAUUCAGCUACAAAGUAAUGAUUUCCUAUACAUGGUAACAUUUAAUCUUCACAUCAAAGCUAUACCCAAAUAUUUCCAGCUGCUGCUCCUUCUUCUUCUUCCUCCUCCUCUUCUUCUUCUUCUUCUUCUUCUUCUUCUUCUUCUUCUUCUUCUUCUUCUUCUUCUUCUUCUUCUUCUUCUUCCCCUCCUCCUCCUCCUCCUCCUUCUCCUUCUCCUUCUUCUUCUUUUGUUCAGCGAGGAGUCCAGAUCAGAGAGGUGGCCCAGAUAGUUCACCAAAUGGCAAGACCAGACUAGCCUCUAAACCAAGACAAUUUACCCUGUCUUUCUUUCUUUUUGAAAUAUACAUCCUUUGCUCUUAGAGAUCUCAAAAUCUUCUGAUGACCCAUACAUUUAUUUGAAUUUUUGUUUCCUGAUAAAAGUCAUCAUGCGCACCUUGGAAAAAGUGAAGAAAAGUUAAAAGAAAAUAUCCACCCAGAGACAACAUUUUAGUGGACCUUCUUGUCUUUAUUUCUGUAUAUAUGAGCUCAUAGGGUAUAUAUGUUUGUAUAUGUUUAAAUUUACAUCAUAAGCAUGCCCAGUUCAUCUUUAGAAUUUUUUAAACAAAUAUAAUUUAAAAUAGGAAUCUAAUAUUUCAUGUUAUUGAUAGACCGUAGUAGACUGUGUUUGUAUUUUUAGAUAAUAUCUUUUUUUAUCACUGUAAAUAAGACUUUAUUUUGUGCCUUCAAUUUUCAUCCUUGUCAAUAUUUUCUGUUAUUUUCUCAGGAUACAUAUGUAGAAGAAACAUCAAUCAGUCAAAUAUUUUAAUGCUCAUAAGACAUGCCAUUCCAGGGCUUCCUAGAAAAACAGUAUUAUCGUAUUUUGUUCCCGGAGGUGCAGGCGAGUGCCUGGUCUACGGGUGUUUACAAUCAUCACCGGGCACCCACAAGAGACCCUGAACUUAGAAUAUUUCCGCGGUAGGAGUUCCGCCUCGUCCUUCCAGGGGAUACUGACGACUCGCUGGGUUCUCGCCUUCCAAGUGCUGGAGGGGGGAAGUAGGGCCACCCGGGGUAGAAACCUAACGCCAGAAACCUUCCAGCGCCUUAUCAGUUGGUGGAAUUUUCGUGGCAGACAGUCGCGCUCUACCUAAGUCGUAGAAGAAAAGACACCUUGUGGGGGACUUGGCGUCGGAAGCCUUGAGUUCAAAUCGUAGCCCUAGGUCCCCAGCCUUGCCCUUCCUGGCUUGCUGCGAGGAUGAAAUGAGAUUUUUGUACGUGAAAAUGCUUUCUAACCCCUCUCGAGGGGUGGAAACGUCUCCAUUCGACCAGAGUCCGGGUCUGCGGAGCAAUUUACCCGCCGCUUUCCAAGAGCAGGCUCCCCAGCGUAGCGAGUCCUUGUUAUGGAAAGGGUCGUUUCGGCUCAGGAUGCGCGCUCCCGGCGUAGACCUGGGGAUAGGGGUCCCUGUCGCGCUCGCCCCACCCCUGCAGGGAGCAAGGCCGUCCUUCUGCAGCACCGCGCCACGCGGCGGGAAUUUGCAGUGUCCUGCUUUCUGGUUUCAGCUUCUUCGCUCGCUUGGGUCUCUCUCGGUCACCUCUCGGAGGGGCCUGGAGUCCCUCCUCCCUCCUCCUACUUCAGCGCCAGAAGCAUUGAAAGCCGCCCGCCCGCCGAGAGUGGAACCGGUACCUCGAAUCUCGCUCAUUCCGGGUCAAUUGGAGGCGCAUUAGCGGCUGCCUUGCAGUGCAACAGAGGCUCGAGUGACAGGCCACCUGCCUAAGCGCUGGCGCCCAGGAAAGCCGGGGAGGAAACUAGGAAGGGAGGCGACAGCAGAAAAGCCAGAGAGUCCAGAGACUCCUAGGCAGGCCUCCGUGCAGCCCCAACAGCGUGGUGCCGGGAGGUGUGUGUGUGUGUGUGUGUGUGUGUGUGUGUGUGUGUGUGUGUGUCCCUUACUCAGGAAUGGAGACAUCGUGAUCACCUCUGUUCUUAGGUGAGAUGGAGACGGCCGUGCUAGGGGUGUGAUUGAUCCGCUUUGCUUCACUCAGGUCCGCAGAGUGUUUUAAGCGCCUACCGUGGGCCAGCUCUGCCCAAGCUCUGGGAAUACUGAGAAAAUGAGAGGUCUCAGCCUUCUUAUCCGAACUUGCAUUCUUGCAUAGAAGACAGACUUUUAAAUAAUUCCCAUACAUUGUGUUACCUUGCACAAUCAGACGGAAUUUGUACACUAUAUUUAUUGAUUUUUUUUUUUUGAGACGGAGUUUCGCUCUUUUGCCCAGGCUGGAGUGCAGUGGCAUGAUCUCGGCUCACUGCAACCUCCGCCUUUUCGGUUUCAAGCAAUUCUCCUGCCUCAGCCUCCCGAGUAGCUGGGAUUACAGGUGCCCGCCACCACACCCGGCUAAUUUUUGUAUUUUUAGUAGAGACCGGGUUUCACCAUGUUGGCCAGGUUAGUCUCGAACUCCUGACCUCGUGAUCUACCCGCCUCGGCCUCCCAAAGUGCUGGGAUUACAGGCGUGAACCACCGCGCCCGGCCCUGAACCUCUACUUCUCCGUGGUUAACAAAAGUCAUUAUUUCCUGUUUCUUUCACUCUCCUGAAACGAAGGGAUUCCCUCCAGCAAGUACCAUACUCAACAGGCAAUUCCUGGUAACCUCGCGGCUUAGUGGGCCCUGUGGGCCGAGGUGAAAUCAGUCCUCUUUAACCCAAGUGCAGGAUCCCCGUUAGACUAGACUAGACUUGGGCUCUGGGUCUGUUGUCACAGCUGUGUCCCCAAGGCACGUAGUAGGUCUUUAACAAAUAUUUAUUGAGGACAGGUAUCUGUCCUGCUUGAUUGGGGAUAGUUCCUAGGAUACUCUGGGGACUGUCCCAAAGGGUGUCUGGGGACCAUCAAUGGUGGCAAUUUCUGCUUUGCCACGGUCCCUUUUGCUGGGAUCCACUUUUUAAUACUGUAAUAAUGUAUUUAUAUUUUUGAGUAUUUGAAAAAUUAACAUGGUUCUUAAAAUCAAAAUUAUGUAAAAAGAUAUACUUAAAGAAGUGACAGUACACCUUUAUCCCUGUAUUCCUGUUCCCACUCCCCUUUCUUUCCUAGUUGGUACACACUUCAAAUCUCAUUAGUUUGUCCUUUCUGUGCUUUAAAACAACAACAACAAAUGAACAGAUAUAUGUGUAUUUUCUUAUUUUUCCUUCUUUCUUACAUGACAAGGCAGCUUAAUAUGGAUACUCUUUCUUAUUGUAAAGCCAUGACAUUUAUUGUGUGUUUUUUUUUGAAUUGAUAUCAUGUCUCUGGUUGCUACCUGUGCAUGGCCACUGCUUUAGAACAAUAGCUGCAAUAACAAUGCCUGUGUACUUUCUACCUAUAUCUCCUUUGCUCAAAAUAAGCUAUUCCAUGCCUGCAGUAUACUCAGGAUGGCGAGAAUCUCCUACUACUCAUGACUGUUAGCAUAGGGCUUUAUAACCUUAUAUUUCAGAGUGCAUAAUGAUAAUUUUAAAGUAAACCCUCAAAAUGACUCAGUGAAUUUUCUCAUUUUUUCUUUUAAAUGAUGGCUUUAGCUUAGUCAUCUUUAUUUUACAGAUAAAGAACACAGAGAUUACAUGUGGUCCAAGAUCACACGGCUAUCACAUAGCAGAGGAAAAUUAGAAUCCAGGUUUUCUCACUACCAAUCCUGGGGCCAUUGUUCUGCACUUCUGUGGCCCUGCUCCCACAUCAGUUCCCUCUAGAGCAGAAAUGAAGAGUUGAAAAAUAAUGGGGAACGAUUUGGCAAACAGAUCUAGAUUAUUUCCUGUAUGGUUUCCUUUUUUAAAAAAUGCAUAUUUAUAUCUCAUCUCACUGGUUCUCAAAAUAACUCAGUGAGAUGUGUAAAGUAGUUAUGAUUUCUAGUUUAUAAAUGAGGAAACUAAGAGAAAGGAAGGUUAAGAAACUUAUUUGAGGCCACAUCUAUCUCCUGAUUUCCCAUAUGGUGCUCUUUCAUGUACUAUGAUCAAUGCAUUUAUUUAGUAAUUGCCUUUUAUGUUUCUUCCUAAUUUUUUUUGCUCAGUACGCGUUAGUACACUCACUCCGUAGAAACAUAUACUCAACAUUUAAAACAUUUUAGCAAAACCAUUACUUCAUUAUGUUCCAAAUUAUUCCAUUCAAUUCAGAAGAUAUUUUCUGAGAGUGCCUAUUACAUGGAAAAGGUAAUCAUAGAAUCUGUCACACAAACUGGGAUACAUUUUUUUUUAGAGACAGAGCCUCACUAUGUUGCCUAGGCUGGUCUGGAACUCCCAGCCUCGAGUGAUCCUCCCACCUUGACCUCCCAAAGCGUUGGGAUUACAGGAGUAAGCUGCUGCACCUGGCCUAACUGGGAAAGGCCAGUGUCCUUUAACACUGGGAAAGUGGAAAGUGUCCUUUAACACUAACUAGAUGGUGUGCCAAGUAUAAACUAACCACAACUGUCCAUAUGGUCACCCCAUAUACAAGGCACUCAGACACAAAGAUAAAUAGUACACACUUCAGGACCCUCCAGGAGUAUCCAGUCCAGUCAGGAGAAGACACAAUAACUUUUAUUGUAGAAUGUCACCAGCUCACCUUUGUCUGCCGGACUGGCAUUAAUGUGCCUAAUUUCAUCCACUUGAUGGAUAACGUUUUCAUUUAUAAUGAUACUUUUAUCAUUAAAAUCUAUGAUGUUGAUCUGAUUACCAUAUUUAAGAGACGGGUUGAUCACUGGUGCAUCCUUUUUCUGCUGCCACAAGGCAAGCACACCUGCAGUCAAUCACACACCCAAAGCCCCAUGGCCGGCACAGCCUCCUCCCCAGAACAUGAGCUGUUCCCAGCUCUCAUUGAUUCUUGAAGAUACUCUUUUGCCGUUACCUUUUUUUCACUUAACAAUAUAUUCAGCAGUCACAUCAUAUUGGUCCAAAGAGGUCUUCCUUAUUGUUUUCUAUAGUUGCCUAGUACUCCAUUGCACGAAUGUACCAAAGUUUAUUCAACCACUGUUCUGUGAAUGAGUAUUUAGAGUUUUCCAGUACUUUACAAUAAUAAGUUUGUAUGUGUUUUUAUAUUGUUGGAGGCAUGUCUUCAGAGUCAAAAGACAAUUGUCAAUUGAAUUUGUCGAAAGACAAAUUUCUAAGAAAUGGGACCAUAGGUGAAACAUAAAUGCACAUAUAGUAUUUUUAGGAGUUCUCCUCUCCAGAAAGGUUCUACAGGUUUGCAUUCCACCAGUACUGUAUGGGAGUGCCUGCUUCCCAGCUAGCCCGGGCAACGGAAUGCAUGAUCAUGCCUCUUAAUUCUUACAAAUUUGAUAGGUGAGAAACAGUAUCUCAGUGUUGUUUUUAAUUUGCAUUUCUCUAAUUACAAGUGAGGUGCAACAUCCUUUUAUAUGUUUAAGGGAUAUAUACAUAUGUGUAUGUAUCUAUACAUAUACAUGUAUAAUAUACAUAACAAUUAAAAACACAUAAAUAUAUACACAUACAUACACAAACGCAAAUUGUAUCCAUCUCCCAAUUUCAAUUUUUAAGUUUUCUCAAUAUCAGUUACUUUGGUUAUGUGUGCUAUAUGUUGCAAAUAUUUUCUUCCUGUUUGACAAUUGUCUUUUGACUUCUUUUAUAGUGAUUUCUUACCAUGCAUUUUAUAAAAUGUAAUCAUUUGUGUUAUGUUUACUUGCUUCUUGAUUUGAGUCAUGGUGAGAAGACCUUUCUUUUCCUACACUGAGGUUAAAAAGGAAUUCACCCAUAUUUUAUUCUGGUAUUUGUUAUAAUUUCUUUGCUUACUUUCGAGUGUAUUAGAGUGUAUGGUGUGAAUUAAGGAUCUGAUACGAUCUUUUCCUAAAUUGCUAUGCUGAGGCCUUUUUGACGGUUUGUCCGCCAUCACUUUCAGAGGCGCUCCGCGCGAACCCCGAAAAUCUGUGCAAAAUUCUCAGGGUUAGGGGAAGAGCAUGGGUGGAGAGUAAAGUGAAGCGGGCCGAGAGAUUUCUUGCAUUAAAUGUUUAGAAGAACCAACCAGUUAAAGGAAAUAAAAAUCUGCCGGUAUGUAACCGCUGGGUGGGCUUCUCCAUUUCUCCGUGUCACCCUCCCCCAGCCGGCCUCUUAGCUUCUCGGCUUUGGGUGGCGGAGACCGUUUAGUUCUGGGACAGACCGUCGGGGGCUGACUCCGGGGGUUUGCGGGCGCCGAGCUGCCUCCGCGCGCGUUCCACUCCUUCAGCGUGGAAAAGAAAACCCUCAGCGGCCAGAGAGGCGGCGGGGCCUUCCCGGAUCGCUGAUUCGGGGAGCCGCAGGCGGGGACGCUGCUGGGCGACGCUUAUCUGCGCCGCGCUCGCCAGCUCCGUUUCAAUUAACAUUCCAGUGCCGCCGCCCGCCGCGGGAGCGGAGUCCCCACCAGCCCCUGGAAAAAUAAACUCUAGGCCUAGCGGCUGUGCGUGCGUGUGUGUGUGCGUGCGUGUGUGCAUGUGUGUGUGUGUGCGCGCGCGUGUGUGUGUCUGUAGAGCCGACAGAGUCCCAGAUCAGUGCAGUCCAGAGCUGCCUAUCCCCGGGUCGCGGUUCCCUGCGGGGUCGAGCCUGCGCCGGGCUGCAGCUCUCUGUCCCACUGCGCGGCGGGAUGGCAGCUGCUCUUUUAAUAAACUAGCAGUCGGCGGUCUGAGCCCUACAAUAUCCCCAAAGCCUGGUGUGCGAUGGAACACAUGGCUGCGUCCCCAGACCCCGAGAGGGGAGUUGCACACACAUUGCUGACCUUGAGGGUCAGACAGACCCUUUCUCGUCUAGUUUUUAGCAUCAGAUGUAACCUCAGCUUGGGCUUCUAUGAUCUCAUCGAUGUCCUUUUGAGAUAAGCAGGGCAGACGUCCUUCUCUCCAUUCCAGGGAUGGGAUGUUGAGGCUCAGAGGAGUCCCUUAACUUGUUUAUAGCCGCUGGC